rnacentral:lncRNA from 1 species
AGAAGCCCUGGCAAGCAGGCCAGUAGCAUCUGGGAAGGCAAUCAGGGCUCAGGUUUAAGGACAUCCACAAGGACACCAUGAGACAAGUGCCAGUCAGAAGGGCACUGGCAGUAGUGGCUGCAGAAUUUCAAUGUAGGAAGAACUUACAGGGAGCAUUUUGGUUGGAAAAGAACUAGAGAAGCUGUAUUUGCAUAAUACUCUACACAAGACUGAGAAAAUGUCGAUUAUCCGUGUCAAAAAAUAGGGAUACCAUGGAUAGUUGAGAGGAGAGCUAAAGCCUGCAGGACCAAGAAGUUUCCUGGAUUCAGAAUUCUCUGAGGUCAUCCCCAAGCAGAAUGGUGCAUUCAGAAACCAGAACACACUGCACGGGGCAGGCUCUGGCUGGAGAAUUCAGCUGCAGGUGCUCUGUCCCAGCAGACAGGAGGCAGGGGGACAAGGAGGGCUUGUUGCCAUCCCCAGUGCAAUGCAGCAGCUCAAGCAUUAGCAGAGGGACUUGCAUCCUUGGUUAGCAAGCAGAUCCAUGAGGAUGUCUGGAAGUAAGGAGGGACUUGAUAGGUCUGCUUAAUUGCUUCCUGCCUCAAGCCCAGAUUGGUCUGGGAAAGAGGCUGGGCCCAGGCUGCAGGUGGGAGAUUGCGUGGCCAGCUGUGAUGAACUGGAGAGGCUGAGUAAGGGGAAAUAGAAAGGGAGGUGGGGGUGGGGAGAACAUGCUGAAAUAGAUCCCUGAAUGUCCUGGGGCCGGAGCCGGGUCACUCAAUGUGGGGGAGGAACUUCCUUCCCUCUUUCGUUAUUUUCCUUCCUCUCUCUUCCUCCUCACAGGCAACCAGCUAGAGGCAGGAUGAGCUGUCUCAAGGAAGAAGAAAUCAAAACAGCCUUUAAAUUACUGGAGGUCAUGUCCACUUUUUCAUUUUCAGAUCAAACAUAACUGUCUUCAGAGUAUAAAUCCUCUGAAGCCUGCCCUUCUUCCAUCCAGUCCCUUGGGUGGCAGGUAUUAAAUGACUACUCCAUGUUCUCCAUAGGGAGGCAGGAUGCCUUGGCAGCAGAGCACACUGUUGUCAGUACUCAGAAGCGUCUGGAAGCCACCCUCAUCUUAAAAUAAAAGAAUCAAGAUUGAGCUUGGAAAGACAAAAUGUAAAAUCAGUGCCUGGAAAAAUAGGCCAAGUCACCUUAAGAGUCAGAAUAGUUCCAUGAAUAUAUCAAUCAUUUGCAGUGUUGAGUGGGGACGUAGCACAGCUGGUCAACCAGCCACAAGACUAUGGUAAUGACCAUCCAGCACAUCAAGGAGAAAGGGCGACUGCACUGAGCACUUGGCUGCUGUGGUUCCAACAGAAUGUAGACCUAUGAGGCGAUAGGUGCAUCCAGCUGAUUAUAGUUCAAGGGCAUAAAACAUGCAGAUUUUUUAACUUACCAAGCAACCACUAAUGAUAAUUGGGACCUCCUGUAGGCCCCCAGAGGGAGAGUGCACCAGCUAAGAGCCAAGAGCCAAGAGCACUGCUUGAGUUUCUUCAGUGGUUCUGGAUCUUAAAAAUGGGCUUGGUUGCUCAGUUUACAAAUGAGUUCGGUUACUAUAAGUCUGCCCUUCUGAGACUGAACCUGCUGAGAGAACAAAUGAAUAAAAUUAAGCUUCUGAGCCGCAAGAUUGAGGGUUUGACUCUGAGCCAUGGAAAGUCCCUCUAGGCAAUGCCUCUGUAUAAGCAGCUGGAGAGAUAGCCUACAAAUCUUUCCUGAGCUCUGAACCUCUGAACCACCCUGCCAUUGCUCUUUGGUGAAAUCUGCUCCUACUCUUUCUGACAUAAACUAACACAAA